CCUACGGGAGGCAGCAGUGAGGAAUAUUGGUCAAUGGCCGCAGGGCUGAACCAGCCAAGUCGCGUGAGGGAGGACGGUCCUGUGUAUUGUAAACCUCUUUUGUCAGGGAGCAAAGGGCGCGACGUGUCGCCCGUUGCGAGUACCUGAAGAAAAAGCAUCGGCUAACUCCGUGCCAGCAGCCGCGGUAAUACGGAGGAUGCGAGCGUUAUCCGGAUUUAUUGGGUUUAAAGGGUGCGCAGGCGGACUGUUAAGUCAGCGGUAAAAUUUCGGGGCUCAACCCCGGCCUGCCGUUGAAACUGGCGUUCUCGAGUGGGCGAGAAGUAUGCGGAAUGCGUGGUGUAGCGGUGAAAUGCAUAGAUAUCGCGCAGAACUCCGAUUGCGAAGGCAGCAUGCCGGCGCUAAACUGACGCUGAUGCACGAAAGCGUGGGUAUCGAACAGGAUUAGAUACCCGUGUAGUC
rnacentral:rRNA from 1 species